rnacentral:tRNA from 1 species
UCUAAUGUGGCAGAAUAGUGCACUGGACUUAAACCCCAAUUAUAAAGUUAUUAAAACUUUUUUUAGAA